rnacentral:rRNA from 1 species
AUUGAACGCUGGCGGCAGGCUUAACACAUGCAAGUCGAGCGGAGAUGAGGUGCUUGCACCUUAUCUUAGCGGCGGACGGGUGAGUAAUGCUUAGGAAUCUGCCUAUUAGUGGGGGACAACAUUCCGAAAGGAAUGCUAAUACCGCAUACGUCCUACGGGAGAAAGCAGGGGAUCUUCGGACCUUGCGCUAAUAGAUGAGCCUAGGUCGGAUUAGCUAGUUGGUGGGGUAAAGGCCUACCAAGGCGACGAUCUGUAGCGGGCCUGAGAGGAUGAUCGGCCACACUGGGACUGAGACACGGCCCAGACUCCUACGGGAGGCAGCAGUGGGGAAUAUUGGACAAUGGGGGGAACCCUGAUCUAGCCAUGCCGCGUGUGUGAAGAAGGCCUUAUGGUUGUAAAGCACUUUAAGCGAGGAGGAGGCUACUGAGACUAAUACUGUUGGAUAGUGGACGUUACUCGCAGAAUAAGCACCGGCUAACUCUGUGCCAGCCGCCGCGGUAAGAC